UUAAAAAGCUCGUAGUUGGAUUUCUGGCGGGGACCCGGGUACCCCUGGUGGGUGUGCUCGGGCCCGGCCAUCCUUCUGUCAACUUUCGCGCGUCCUUCACCGGUCGGCAAAGGGAUCAGAUAAUUUACCUUGAGAAAAUUAGAGUGUUUCAGGCAGGCUUAGCCGGAAUACAUUAGCAUGGAAUAAUGGAAUAGGACUGAGGUCUCGUUGUUGGUUACGCGGACUACAGUAAUGAUUAAUAGGGACAGUUGGGGGCAUUAGUAUUUAUUAGCUAGAGGUGGAAUUCUCUAAUUUGAUAAAGACUAACUUAUGCGAAAGCAUUUGCCAAGGAUGUUUUCAUUAAUCAAGAACGAAAGUUAGGGGAUCAAAGACGAAUCAGAUACCGUCCUAGUCUUAACCAUAAACUAUGCCGACUCGGGAUCGGGAGACGCUGUGUUAUCCGCUUUCGGCACCGUAUGAGAAAUUAAAGUCUUUGGGUUCUGGGGGGAAUAUGGCCGCAAAGCUGAAACUUAAAGGAAUUGAC
rnacentral:rRNA from 1 species